rnacentral:rRNA from 1 species
AGAGUUUGAUCCUGGCUCAGGAUGAACGCUAGCUACAGGCUUAACACAUGCAAGUCGAGGGGCAGCAUGAGCUUAGCUUGCUAAGCUUGAUGGCGACCGGCGCACGGGUGAGUAACACGUAUCCAACCUCCCGCUUACUCAGGAAUAGCCUUUCGAAAGAAAGAUUAAUGCCUGAUGGUAUCUUAAGCACACAUGUAAUUAAGAUUAAAGAUUUAUCGGUAAGCGAUGGGGAUGCGUUCCAUUAGGUAGUAGGCGGGGUAACGGCCCACCUAGCCUACGAUGGAUAGGGGUUCUGAGAGGAAGGUCCCCCACAUUGGAACUGAGACACGGUCCAAACUCCUACGGGAGGCAGCAGUGAGGAAUAUUGGUCAAUGGGCGCGAGCCUGAACCAGCCAAGUAGCGUGAAGGAUGAAGGUCCUACGGAUUGUAAACUUCUUUUAUACGGGAAUAAAGUGGCCUACGUGUAGGCUUUUGCAUGUACCGUAUGAAUAAGCAUCGGCUAACUCCGUGCCAGCAGCCGCGGUAAUACGGAGGAUGCGAGCGUUAUCCGGAUUUAUUGGGUUUAAAGGGAGCGUAGACGGGGGAUUAAGUCAGUUGUGAAAGUUUGCGGCUCAACCGUAAAAUUGCAGUUGAUACUGGUUCCCUUGAGUGCAGUUGAGGCAGGCGGAAUUCGUGGUGUAGCGGUGAAAUGCAUAGAUAUCACGAAGAACCCCGAUUGCGAAGGCAGCCUGCUAAGCUGUAACUGACGUUGAGGCUCGAAAGUGUGGGUAUCAAACAGGAUUAGAUACCCUGGUAGUCCACACGGUAAACGAUGGAUACUCGCUGUUGGCGAUAUACUGUCAGCGGCCAAGCGAAAGCAUUAAGUAUCCCACCUGGGGAGUACGCCGGCAACGGUGAAACUCAAAGGAAUUGACGGGGGCCCGCACAAGCGGAGGAACAUGUGGUUUAA